AGUGAACGCUGGCGGUAGGCCUAACACAUGCAAGUCGAACGGCAGCACAGUAAGAGCUUGCUCUUACGGGUGGCGAGUGGCGUACGGGUGAGGAAUACAUCGGAAUCUACUUUUUCGUGGGGGAUAACGUAGGGAAACUUACGCUAAUACCGCAUACGACCUACGGGUGAAAGCAGGGGAUCUUCGGACCUUGCGCGAUUGAAUGAGCCGAUGUCGGAUUAGCUAGUUGGCGGGGGAAAUGCCCACCAAGGCGACGAUCCGUAGCUGGUGUGAGAGGAGGAUCGCCCACCUGGGAACUGAGACACGGUCAAGAGUCCUAAGAGAGGCAGCAGAGGGGAAUAGGAGGCAAUGGGGGCAAGCCUGGUCCAGCCAGAGCGAGUGGGUGAAGAAGGCGUUCGGGUUGGAAAGACCUUUUGUUGGGAAAGAAAAGCAGCAGGUUAAUACCCCGCGGUUGUGACGGUACCCAAAGAAGAAGCACCGGCUAACUUCGUG
rnacentral:rRNA from 1 species